CGGGGUGCAGCAGGCGCGAAAACUUUACAAUGCCGGCAACGGCGAUAAGGGAACCUCGAGUGCCAGGUUACAAAUCUGGCUGUCGUGAUGCCUAAAAAGCAUUGCAUAGCAAGGGCCGGGCAAGACCGGUGCCAGCCGCCGCGGUAACACCGGCGGCUCGAGUGGUAACCGUUAUUAUUGGGUCUAAAGGGUCUGUAGCCGGCCGGGUAAGUCUCUUGGGAAAUCUGGCAGCUUAACUGUCAGGCUUUCAGGAGAUACUGCCUGGCUCGAGGCCGGGAGAGGUGAGAGGUACUUCAGGGGUAGGGGUGAAAUCUUGUAAUCCUUGAAGGACCACCAGUGGCGAAGGCGUCUCACCAGAACGGACCUGACGGCAAGGGACGAAAGCUAGGGGCACGAACCGGAUUAGAUACCCGGGUAGUCCUAGCCGUAAACGAUACUCGCUAGGUGUCGGCCACGGUGCGACCGUGGUCGGUGCCGUAGGGAAGCCGUGAAGCGAGCCACCUGGGAAGUACGGCCGCAAGGCUGAAACUUAAAG
rnacentral:rRNA from 1 species